UUCGGCGGGCUCCCUCGCUGGUCCAACAGCUCCUUCGGCGGGCUCCCUUCUUGAUCCAGCGGCCCCCUCCUCAAAUUGGCAGCUCCUCUGGCGAGCUCCCUCUCCGAUCCGGCGCCCCCCUCCUCAAAUUAGCAGCUCUUCCGAUGGGCUCCCUCCGCGAUCCAGCUCCUCCUUCGGCAAGCUCCCUCUCCGACCCGGCAGGCCCCCCUCCUGGAAUUGGAAGCUCCUCCGAUGGGCUACCUCCCUGAUUCGGCGGUUCCUUCGGUAGCAGUGCAACCAUAGCCAUCGCAUCCGUGAAUCGACAUGGUGCCACUACCCAACGAGAUGAGUUCCUCAUGCCUCCACACGCCAGGUACAGAUCUGUUGAUGCCAUGCAGCAGUAGCACCACCACCAAUUGUGAGUUGCUUCCGCCAUCCACAAUCAUCGCCACUGGCCUCCUCGUCCUCGCAUUUUCGACAUGAUCCGGUACCACAUGAUUGCAUUCCAGGAGCUAUUCCAGUCAAAAGAUGAUCUUCUACUCACAAUCAUUCUCUUUUCCAACUUUGUAGCUUGUUUGCAAUUCUAUGUUUUCAUUACUGAAACCUCGGCCUUAUUUUAGAUUGAUGUAAAGAAUUUUGGGCACUCUCUAUUUGUAAGUGUUUGUCAAAAGAAGUGCGAGAUUGGGAAACA